rnacentral:rRNA from 1 species
CCUACGGUGAGCAGCAGUGGGGAAUAUUGGACAAUGGGGGGAACCCUGAUCCAGCGACGCCGCGUGAGUGAAGAAGUAUUUCGGUAUGUAAAGCUCUAUCAGCAGGGAAGAAAGAAAUGACGGUACCUGACUAAGAAGCCCCGGCUAACUACGUGCCAGCAGCCGCGGUAAUACGUAGGGGGCAAGCGUUAUCCGGAUUUACUGGGUGUAAAGGGAGCGUAGACGGCGAUGCAAGUCUGAAGUGAAAGGCGGGGGCCCAACCCCCGGACUGCUUUGGAAACUGUAUGGCUGGAGUGCAGGAGAGGUAAGUGGAAUUCCUAGUGUAGCGGUGAAAUGCGUAGAUAUUAGGAGGAACACCAGUGGCGAAGGCGGCUUACUGGACUGUAACUGACGUUGAGGCUCGAAAGCGUGGGGAGCAAACAGGAUUAGAUACCCCUGUAGUC